AAUGUGGUGUCUGCUUCAGCCCUGCUGUCUCAGGCUGAAUUAUCAGAGCUGCAGAGGUGACCAGAGGGCUGGAUCAGCUUCCAGGCAGGGGACAGGGAGACACACAGAGACUCUUCUAGAACAGAGGACCUAACUGUUUUAAUGAGGGCUUGGACAACAGCAAUAAAAUUGGAGACAAUUCAGGAAUCCUGUUCCUGGUUGUAAGAGAGGAGCAGCUGCCACAUUUGAGUGAGCCCUUUGAAUCGCCAGGCAUCAGCUCAAGAAGUGGAGGAAUAAGGAAGGUACAGCUGUUCCCAAAUAUAUAGAAAUCUGCUGAAUUUUAUGAUCUUUGAUCACCUCAAAGAACCAUCUACACAAAAAUUUUACAGACCCCAUCUCUUAUGUGCACAAGUUUGUAUGCACAGGAGUGUGGAACCAGUGGCAAGUUCUGAGAUCUCACUGCUCUCUCAGUGCCACAGCAGCAGACAGCAGGAGGGACAGUGACAGUCAUCUCCAGGCCCCAAGAGAUUCAGAGCUGCCAGCACCCAUCAUGACCCUAGGAGAAGGAAGGAAGACCAAGCAGUCUGUUACCUGUGACCAGCCACUCUGGGAUGUUUGAUAAUGCACCACACUCUGCUUUAGGGUUCCCAGCAGCAGAAGAUGGGUACUGUGGUCAUGCAGUAGAUGGCAUGGUUGAAGCCACCUCUGCUGCUACACAUCUCUACAGUCAGCAGGUUACCUCUGCACCACUGCCUUCUCAUGGGAUUGUGGACAUCCAGUGCUGGUGCCUGGAGGAACAUUUGUCAAGAUGAUACAAACAUGAUUUAUGCUCCUGCCAGAUCAAGAGGAACAAAUAAAUGUGCAAUGGGACAAAUAAAUAGGAAAGGACUUGGGGCUGCUCCGCCAGGAUAGCCUAAAGUAGUAAAGCACAUGAGAAGCCCCUCAGGGCAGAGGGCAGAGUGGAGUGCCCAGGCCCUGCUUGAAAGCCUGAGAUGAUGGGGAAGGGUGACAUUCUAUUAGUAAACCACUAAUGACCAGCUCUUUGGCAUUUCCUGAAAACUACAGUAGGUUGGCUGGUCCCCGAGGAGCACUGUGAUGUCAGCAGCCAGAAAUCCUGUGGAACCGGCCAGACUGGCAAAUGCAUGAAAGUCAGCUAAUCUGCUGUUUUAUCACUCCUCCCCCCCAAAUCCCCAUCCACCUCAGGCAUCAGAGGGAAGCUAAUUGACUUGAGCUUCCUUUUUGUGCUCAAACACCUUGGUUGACUUGGUUAUUUUCUUUCACUAUUUUUCAUACAAACAGAUGGGUUUCAAAGGCAGUGCUGGCACAGGUGUUAUGUGAUACAUAUCUGCCAAACAACCGGGGAGAGGCCUUGCUUCACCAGCUGCCUCUGAGUGAUCAGUUUUGCUGCCUCUCCCCACUAACUGGGGUCACAGUUACUGCUGGGAAAGGACAUCAGUUGUUGCUCACAUUCCCUCUUUUCCUUUACCCUCCAAAGCAGAGGAAAGUGGAGACUUUUGGGCAGCAGGGCCAAUGUGGAGUGGCUUUCCAGGGAAUGCAACCUUAGCAGGGACAUGGCACCAUUCCUCGGAGUGAUUUUGUAGUGAGAAGGGCAGGUGUCCGUGCAAAUAGCUUCCUGGAUGGGAGCUGACCCAGAAGGUGAGGUUCCCAUCUUCACCUUACCUGACCCAAUGAGUUUGACUCUGAUCCUCAUCCUCCUCCACCCUGCAGAUUUAUGGAUGGGCAUGCUGCCAGACUGUAUUUUCCCUCACCACUUAGGAGACACAGUAUAAACUUGGAGGCAAGUGGGAGGUGCUGAGCUCUUGCCUUGGCAGCAACUGGGACAACCCACUUCCUCAUCCCUGCCAUCUUACUGGUGUGAGAAAAUAGGAGCAGGUUGAAACAGAGCUCCUCAAAAGGGCCCCCAUUCUUAAAUGCCCAGGGAGUUUCAGGGAUCUGUGCAGGGAAGGAAGCUGUAGCCCUCUCCACUGGCCUGUGCCAGGGGCAUGCACUGAGCCAAGGACCAGCUGGGCAUCACCUGUGUCCCUGCACCAGACACCCAUGGAAGCAGCUCUCAAAAACCAGUCCAGGUCAAAGGACCUCUGUUGGACCCCAGAGGAACCACAUGGGGUCUUUCUGUGCUGUGGCCUGCUCUUCAGGUCCCUCCUGGGGAAAAAUUCCAGGCUGGGGGAGUAACUGGGGCAAAACCAAAAGGCUGAGGAAGCUGUACUGUAGAACACAUCAGGGUGUUUAUCAUGGUAAUGUAAAGAAGGGUCUGAAGGUCAUGCACAUGAAUAUUUGUAAGAGCAUUGUUGUUUCAUUUUGAUGUAGAACCACAGCAAUAAUAUCCAGCUGGAAUAAAUUGCUCCAAAAUUCA